GAGAAAGUCAUAAAGGUUAUGGGGUUUGACUUGAAAUUAAUCUGAGGGGGUUCAAUUCCUCCCUUUCUUA
rnacentral:tRNA from 1 species